GUACCGCGAAACUGCAAGGACACCUUGCACGCCUUCAUCGAGUCCGUGUGAGGCGCCGCACGGGACAGCGCCAAAGCGGGCACGCGUGCUUUUUGCGUCGGGGCGAUUGGGGAAAAGUGUCCUUCCGGCCGGAAUCGAACCAGCGACCCUGUGAUACCUGCGAACUCUACAGUCACAUGCUCUACCAAUUGAGCUACAGAAGGUCCACAACAUGGUCGCACUUCGUGGCUACAGCGAAGAACACGCAACACCACCAGCCCAUCUGAGGGGGUGGGAGGGGGAAAAGGCCGCUAGGGGGAUCGAACCCCUGACCUCCGUCUUACUAGGACGGCGCUCUGCCAUUGAGCUAAGCAGCCACCGUUCCCUGGAGGAAAAAGCCGCCUGACACCCAAAGAGCUGCAACCCAGCCGGCUCCAGGUGCGGCUUCCGUGGCUUGGCCGUGGGGGAAGGAGGGAGCGUGCCGGCCAGCCUCCGCAGAGCGGGACGUAUAUAGAGCGAGGCCUCGGAAUAAAAGGUUAUUCGAGGAACAGCCAGCACAGAAAUCUUAUAAUCGUCUGGCUGGGGGUGUCAAUAAAAGGCUCUCUUUUCGACUAUGUGUGUUUUGGCCGCGACCCACCGCCCCAAGCUCUGGCCAGGCACCGGCGUUUAAGCAGGGUGCUUUAAAUCUCGUCGCUACCCUUGUCCCCCGGGGUGACAGCAAUCAGCUUCUCAGGCGGUGGAUGGGAGAGAUUGUUAGGAUUUGCCGCAUGCUUCACACCACAGAGUCUCGCAGACGUCGUGGAGAGUUUCGCACCUCCGGUGCAAAAAGGCUCACCAUGGAAAAUCCGCGUGCGCAUCUGUGGUCGGGUCGGAUUGGUGGUGAAGUCCACCUGUAAGUUUUCCGAUUGAUUGUUUCCGCCCUUAUCUAACCAUUCGCCGCACUUCCGCUCUGCCCCCCAAAAGGGCACCAAGCAACUGCGAGAUCAGCUUUCUGCUUUGUUAGCUUUGGUGCGCCCGAUGGGGCGACGGAAACCCCUCCUUUGCCGGCGAGUGCGGGCCUGGCGCUUUUUUUGAUCGUCUUUUUCUCCUUCUUGGCGUGUGCCAGCCACUCUCGCCACCAAGCGUUGCCCAACCCGAACCCCAGCAGGCAAACUGCGAAAAACAACGC
rnacentral:tRNA from 1 species